rnacentral:tRNA from 1 species
GGUAGCGUGGCCGAGCGGUCUAAGGCGCUGGUUUUAGGCACCAGUCCGAAAGAGGCGUGGGUUCGAAUCCCACCGCUGCCA